CGAACGGGUGAGUAAUGUGUGACCAACCUGCCCCAUGCUCCAGAAUAGCUCUUGGAAACGGGUGGUAAUGCUGGAUGCUCCAACUUGACGCAUGUCUUGUUGGGAAAGUGUUUAGUGGCAUGGGAUGGGGUCGCGUCCUAUCAGCUUGUAGGCGGGGUAAUGGCCCACCUAGGCUUCGACGGGUAGCCGGCCUGAGAGGGCGGACGGCCACAUUGGGACUGAGAUACGGCCCAGACUCCUACGGGAGGCAGCAGCU
rnacentral:rRNA from 1 species